AAUAAAAUCGUUUCCUCCUGAAAAUGCCCAUCUCGGAACCUUGGCUGUGCCCCGAGGGAGGCACCGGAAUGGCAAAAGUGAGGACAUACGGCUGCCAGCAUCGUCUAUGCUCUAGAUAGGGGUCAAAUGUCAACUUUCUGCCAGGUCCAGCCCGGAUGUGAGGGCUGUGAAGGCAACAACCAAGGAACCAUUCCUUCGGAUGGAAGUCCUAUGGCAGAGAGAAGCUGAUGUUUGAAUUUUCCUGUAGAGCCCUUGAGGUUCCAUGAAUCAGUCUGGGAAGGAUGCAGGUUAAGUGGGAAGCAGAAGCCCUCAAUCACGUGAUGACGGAAAAGCCGAAAAGGCUGGGUUAUACCCUUAGGAAACCUAUUUGUUUCUUGGCUCCCUGCAGGGGCAUGCACACUAGCAAAGGCUCAAUCCCUUCAUUAUUCAUUUGAUCACAAAAGAAGGAAUGAGAGGAAAAAUACUUUUAUUUUUCACCAAGCAAUCACCAAGCGCAGUCUCAACGAAGAGCCCCUCCUUCUUUCAUGUCUUCUUUUGUGUGUGACUUACUCAGUCUAAGGUAAAGGAACCCAAGCUGGGCCCAAUGCCAAGUGCACUUCUUCAAUGUUACAUUCUGGGACAGGAGAGAGGAUCACUGGUUGAGCCUACCUACUCUGUGGACACAUUGUAAUCCUGAAACUGUUCUGAGCUUCCAUUCAUGGCCAGGACACCUGAUCACUUCAUCGUUGGGUUCUGUGUUUGAAAACUGGGCCAGCUCUGAACCUGGGUGACAGAACACACUGUGGAGAAACCUUGUCUCUAGGAUCUUGCUCAUACACUCUUGGCUCCUCUUGCUCUGGUGGAGCUCCUCAGUGCCCACUGGGAAAGUGAUCUGGCUCCCAAGACCACCAGCCUGUUCAAGUCAUGGAUGGCACCAGUUUUCACAGGCUGAGUGAUUAGAAAACAGACUCUGGGACAGCUGUGUACAUAAGAGUCAUCUGGGCAUUGCUCUUACAAUCCCUGUAGAAGACAAGAGCUCAGCAGUUGAUGGUCAGCCUUAGACCAACAGAACCUGACCGUGGGGCACAUGCGAGAUGGAUGGAAAGGAGCCUACUAUGGGUGUCACUCUUCUCAUGACAGAGGGCAAACACCUAAUAGGAGGACCAACUUGAGUCAUGGAGGGUUUGCACGAGGUUCAGAGGAUAAAGUCGAUCACCGCCAUGAGAAACACAUGGAAACAGAACCAGUCCGUUAUGACAACGGGAGUGUGAGAUAGCUUGCUCACAUGUGACUGGAUCUGGAAACAGAGCAACCAGGACAGAAUCAGAGGCGAUCCGUAACCCUCAAGUUUCAUCCCUAUGCCCCACCAACUAUGAAUGAGACUGUGUGUCUGUCCAACCUCCUGAAAGAGUGCUACCAGCUGGGGACCAAGUAAUCAAGCAUGUGAGCUUCUAGGGGACAUUUCACAUCCAAGCCAUAAGCCUAAUUUAAAGAACCCUAAUUGUGUACAUUUAUGACAUCCCCCAUCUGGCUG
rnacentral:lncRNA from 1 species